GUCUACAGCCAUACCACCUUAAAUGCUCCCUAUGUCGUAUGUUCUCUGAAGCUAAGCAGGGUCAGGCCUGAUUAGUUCUUGGAUGGGAGAAAAAUCUUAGGUAGCCU
rnacentral:rRNA from 1 species